rnacentral:rRNA from 1 species
UGGGGAAUUUUGGACAAUGGGGGGAACCCUGAUCCAGCCAUUCCGCGUGAGUGAAGAAGGCCUUCGGGUUGUAAAGCUCUUUCGGCCGGAACGAAACGGUCCGCGCUAACACCGCGGGCUAAUGACGGUACCGGAGGAAGAAGCACCGGCUAACUACGUGCCAGCAGCCGCGGUAAUACGUAGGGUGCAAGCGUUAAUCGGAAUUACUGGGCGUAAAGCGUGCGCAGGCGGUGGCUUGUGUCAGGUGUGAAAGCCCCGGGCUUAACCUGGGAAUUGCGCUUGAAACUAGGUCGCUAGAGUGCGUCAGAGGGGGGUGGAAUUCCACGUGUAGCAGUGAAAUGCGUAGAGAUGUGGAGGAACACCGAUGGCGAAGGCAGCCCCCUGGGAUGACACUGACGCUCAGGCACGAAAGCGUGGGGAGCAAACAGGAUUAGAUACCCUGGUAGUCCACGCCCUAAACGAUGUCAACUGGUUGUUGGAGGAGUG